ensembl:lncRNA
AGCCCUUAGCCAGGCGCUUGACAUCCUCCUCCUCUCCACCGCGCCCCCCUGCCCCUAUGAUCUUCUCGAAGACCUGCAGGUCUGUCCCAUCAUUAAACUCAUUUCCUAGAAGCGGAACCUGAAGCUCCCAAAGGCGUCGCUGUGAAUUCCCGGUCUGCCCGGGUCCCAGUCGCCCCCUCCCUUCACUCCGCGCAAUCGCAAAUCCCAGGACCUUUUCAGUGAGAUUUCUGUAGGAUGGAGGUGGGUGGGCGCCGGGAACGGAGAUGCCAGAGGAGGAGGCACAGAGGAGGAUCCACAAAGGAGGAGAGAUGCCACAAAAGAAGGCCAGCCUCUGCGUCCGAUGCUCAUCGCGCGGGGCAGCACCGACAGCGGCAGCUAGCCCCAGAGCCAGACGCCGCAAAGCCUAUGCCAAGCUGGCUGACUUCUGAGGCGUCCCCACUGAGGUCUCUGAAUGGUGCCUGGGAAAGGGUGCUCUGGAAAGGUGUGCCCCCCUGGUCAGGAGUCAUCUGGCCUCCAAGCAUCUGGGCAGCAGGUCUGCAAGAACAGCUUCUUCUGCAAAUAGCAGUGCACCUUGAAGAGACUUGACCUUCAGCAGUAUGAGGACUAUCGUCCCGAGAGCCACUUCUGUCACCUGCUGAUUAGAAAAUCAUCUGAAGAGCUCUCAGGAUCUCAGCUGGGCUUUGAUAGCUUCUGCUGAGUAUACUAAAGCAUAAUUUACCAGGGGCUGAGUGCAUGGCAUUGUCAGAAGUGAUUUACAUAAUUGCCUCUUCUUCAGAUUCCCAUCUGAACUCUAGUGAUAUGUGGACAAUGUGAUAAUAAUACAUCCCCACUCCACCCCAAAGACAUUAAAUAUGAGGGCAAGGAAUUCCUUUAAGAAUUUAUUACUUAUUCAAUGAUUUUCUCGAAAGAAAGUAAGCCUGAAAUCAUAUGAGCUAAGCAGAAAGUCGGCAUUAGAAGGGCACAAGUCUGGGAUAGGAACAAUGUUUAUGUAAUAUCCAUAUGAUGUGUCCAGACUCUGCUGUCAAUUGUUUGGAUCAAGGAAAUUGAGCGCCUUGAGCGCUGUUCUGUUGUCUGGGAGUUGUUUCCGGCUGUCCCAGCAUCCUGGCCUCAUCACUCUGCAUGUAGAAGAGAAUGAACUGGAAGACAAAACAUGGGUUUCGUUCUGAAUGCUUUGUUCAUGACAGGUGUGAGUGUGAGCCGUUCGUUUAGAGCACUGUUGCUUCAAGAGGACCCGGGACAAGCAGCACCCGCACUACCUAUGAGAAGUGCACAUCCUGGACCUGCAGAAUCACAAACACGGAAGGUGGGGACCAGCCACAGUGCUCACCAGAGCUCUAGGGGACUAUGACAAUCUUCAAGUCUGAGAGCCACUGGCAUAGCCUUUCUGAGCCUCACUUUCUUGUCUUCCUAGAGUGGUGAACCAGUAUCAGGAAAGAUCAUUUGGCAUGAAUGCUCUGAAAUCUCUAGACUACCUUGGCCACAUGGCUCCUGAACACCUGAAAUGUAGAUAUGUGCUAAGUGUAAAAGACACAUCAGAUCCCAAAGACUGAGGGUA